AACGAACGCUGGCGGCAGGCCUAACACAUGCAAGUCGAGCGAGACCUUCGGGUCUAGCGGCGGACGGGUUAGUAACGCGUGGGAACGUGCCCUUCUCUGCGGAAUAGCCACUGGAAACGGUGAGUAAUACCGCAUACGCCCUUCGGGGAAAGAUUUAUCGGAGAAGGAUCGGCCCGCGUUAGAUUAGAUAGUUGGUGGGUAACGGCCUACCAAGUCUACGAUCUAUAGCUGGUUUUAGAGGAUGAUCAGCAACACUGGGACUGAGACACGGCCCAGACUCCUACGGGAGGCAGCAGUGGGGAAUCUUAGACAAUGGGCGCAAGCCUGAUCUAGCCAUGCCGCGUGUGUGAUGAAGGUCUUAGGAUCGUAAAGCACUUUCGCCAGGGAUGAUAAUGACAGUACCUGGUAAAGAAACCCCGGCUAACUCCGUG
rnacentral:rRNA from 1 species